AAAUAAGUUUAGGUUUAGGUAAAGUGAUUAUAAAAUGAAUUUCUUGAUUAUUUGCUAGGAUUUUGGUCUUAGAAACGCUUAAAAUACUUGUUACGCUAAUUCCUGUGGAAUCCUUGCUCAGGAUUACUUCUAGAUCGCCGUCAUUGAUGAUGACUGGAUUUAUUAUAUUUGCUGUAGCCAAAGUGAUUGCCAUUAUCAAAUUUUCAAUUUCUAAAGUUAACAUUCUGUUUCUUGCCAAAAGGGUCUCGUAAAGGUGUGAAGUAUCAAUUUGAAUUGCUUUUUGAGCUUUUAGAAUUUCAUUUACCGUGAGGGUAAGAGCAUUGAUCUGUUUUUGCGUUCUUCGGCGUCGGGGGUCCCAGCAAUUACCUUCAAGGCCCUACCUAUGACGUCCAAACUCCGCGCGUGCCUAUGGUGAACGCCCAGGGUCACCAAGAGUGUUGACAUGUGGUUAACGUCGGCUUCCAGUAUCUUACGCAUGUGCGACUGGGGGAACAGUUUUGUCGUCUCCGCUGUCUCGCGCACGAGCCUGUCAUACUCCGUCAGUCACCGGGAUGUAGCGCGAAUGGGAAUAAUUCACCAAUUUAGCCGUUGACAUCGCAGCCCACGCAACCAAGACCACAACGCGCCUGCGAAUCAAUAAAACAUCUUCGAUGAGGCAACCCGCUCUAACUUAU